rnacentral:misc_RNA from 1 species
GAUGAAGAACGCAGUGAAAUGCGAUAAGUAAUGUGAAUUGCAGAAUUCAGUGAAUCAUCGAAUCUUUGAACGCACAUUGCGCCCGCCAGUAUUCUGGCGGGCAUGCCUGUUCGAGCGUCAUUUCAACCCUCAGGGCCCUUUUGGACCUGGCGUUGGGGCUCGGCCGCUACCCUGCGGCCGUCCCCGAAAGAUAGUGGCGGUCUCGCUGUAGCCUCCUCUGCGUAGUAGUUACAUCUCGCACUGGAACGCGGCGCGGCCAUGCCGUUAAACACCCCACUUCUCAAGGUUGACCUCGGAUCAGGUAGGAAUACCCGCUGAACUUAAGCAUAUCAAUAAGCGGAGGA